rnacentral:rRNA from 1 species
UGGGGAAUUUUGGACAAUGGGCGAAAGCCUGAUCCAGCAAUGCCGCGUGUGUGAAGAAGGCCUUCGGGUUGUAAAGCACUUUUGUCCGGAAAGAAAUCCUUGGCUCUAAUACAGUCGGGGGAUGACGGUACCGGAAGAAUAAGCACCGGCUAACUACGUGCCAGCAGCCGCGGUAAUACGUAGGGUGCAAGCGUUAAUCGGAAUUACUGGGCGUAAAGCGUGCGCAGGCGGUUUGCUAAGACCGAUGUGAAAUCCCCGGGCUCAACCUGGGAACUGCAUUGGUGACUGGCAGGCUAGAGUAUGGCAGAGGGGGGUAGAAUUCCACGUGUAGCAGUGAAAUGCGUAGAGAUGCGGAGGAAUACCGAUGGCGAAGGCAGCCCCCUGGGCCAAUACUGACGCUCAUGCACGAAAGCGUGGGGAGCAAACAGGAUUAGAUACCCUGGUAGUCCACGCCCUAAACGAUGUCAACUAGUUGUUGGGGAUUCAUUUCCUUAGUAACGUAGCUAACGCGUGAAGUUGACCGCCU